GACUGCUAUCGGAUUAAUACUAAGCCAUGCGAGUUUUUGUAGUAAUACAAGGCAUACGGCUCAGUAACACGUAGUCAACCUACCCUAUGGACGAGGAUAAUCUCGGGAAACUGAGCAUAAUACUCGAUAGAUCAUAAUGCCUGGAAUGGUUUAUGAUUAAAAUGAUUCGUCGCCAUAGGAUGGGACUGCGACCUAUCAGCUUGUUGGUGAGGUAAUGGCCCACCAAGGCGAUUACAGGUACGGGCUCUGAGAGGAGAAGCCCGGAGAUGGGUACUGAGACAAGGACCCAGGCCCUAUGGGGCGCAGCAGGCGAGAAAACUUUGCAAUGUGCGAAAGCACGACAAGGUUAAUCCGAGUGAUUUCUGCUAAAGAAAUCUUUUGUUAGUCAUAAAACCACUGACGAAUAAGGGGUGGGCAAGUUCUGGUGUCAGCCGCCGCGGUAAAACCAGCACCUCAAGUGGUCAGGAGAAUUAUUGGGCCUAAAGCAUCCGUAGCCGGUUCUCUAAGUUUUUGGUUAAAUCUAUGUGCUCAACGCAUAGGCCGCCGAAAAUACUGAAGAGCUAGGGAGUGGGAGAGGUAGACGGUACUUGAUAGGAAGGGGUAAAAUCUUUUGAUCUAUCGAUGACCACCUGUGGCGAAGGCGGUCUACCAGAACACGUUCGACGGUGAGGGAUGAAAGCUGGGGGAGCAAACCGGAUUAGAUACCCGGGUAGUCCCAGCUGUAAACGAUGCAGACUAGAUGAUGCAUUGGCAUAUAGCCAGUGCAGUAUCUCAGGGAAGCCGUUAAGUCUGCCGCCUGGGAAGUACGUACGCAAGUAUGAAACUUAAAGGAAUUGGCGGGGGAGCACCACAAGGGGUGAAGCCUGCGGUUCAAUUGGAG
rnacentral:rRNA from 2 species